rnacentral:lncRNA from 1 species
GGUUCUUCUCAAACUAUAAGCUUUUAUUCUAUUUUACAUGUCAUUCAUCCAGAACACGACACGUACAUGGGUGGCAUCGUUCAUACUCAACAUGAAAUGACGUGAUGCACACAAGUCACUUGCCCUGUGCUGGGCCCCCGUGCACCAGGCAGGAAAGGGCUCUCACGAAGCCCACCCUGAACGGUGGCCUGCUGGGGCACCGGAUGUGCUGUCCUCAUUUCCCAGCUCUUACACACUCCCUGGAGUUAGAUGGGUCGAGAUGGACAUUUAGCUUGGAACUGAAGUUUCUAAUUUUACCGUGCUGAGUACAGCUGGACUAUUUCCCAGCCUACUU